GCCGAGGUAGCUCAACUGGCAGAGCAACGGUUUUGUAAACCGUAGGUUGUGGGUUCAAUUCCCAUCCUCGGCU
rnacentral:tRNA from 1 species